GAGACGCCUCGAAAGAGGCUUACAUGGUGGGCAAAAGAAGAUAAGGAGGGCGUAGAGAGACGCCUCGAAAGAGGCGUACAAGGCGAGCAAGAGGAGAGAGGGAGGGCGUGGAGAAAGGCCUCGGAAGAGGCGUAUAGGGAUGAUAGGGAGAAAGUAAGGCAGCAUAGGGAGGAAAGAGAGAUAAGGAGAGAGAGAAGAAGGAGAUAGAGAGAAGAGACAAAAAAUAUGUUAUGAAAAGAGAGAGAUAGAGAGAACGGGAAGAAACAGAUAGGAAGAAGAGUCAAAGAUGGUUAUAAACGUGGAGCUAUAAAAAUCUGCCACGUGUACCGUCACAACCAUCAAAUUAUGUAUUUGUAUGGAUAAUAGUAAGAAAAGAAUAGAUGUAGUCCUAGACAGAGUGGUAGUCUUUAAGAGACAUUUUGAUUUCUUAAAAAAAUGUGAAGAUUUUUUUAAGAAAAAUUUUCUAUGAAUAUGUAUUUUUUUUUUGUCUGUUCGGUUCUAAGAAAAAUUAGUAUUUUUUAAAAGUUAUUUUAUAAAUAUUAUAAAAACUAAUAUUUUUGUUUUCUGAAUUUCUUUUAAGAAACGAAAGCAUCAAAUUUUUUUAAAAUUUAAAAAUAAUUUUUUGAAAAUACUAAUUUUUUGGAACAAAACAAAAAGGUAAAAAUACAGAAAAAAAAUUUAUUCUUCUUUUCCAAAUAAGUAAGCAAUUAGCCCAUAAACCUUUUACCAAAAUUCUAAUUAAGUUACCGGUCGUUCCUAGUAUGAGUGGCAAAAGGGUUAUGGUUGAUAUCAAAAUUUUCAAAUUCGAAUCUAGUUGAUUUAUUUUCUCUAUCUAAAUUUAUUUUGUUUAAAAAAAAAUAAAAGGGAUAACAUCUACUACCUUUUUUUCUCUGAUAAAAAAAAAAAAAAAUCCAACCAAGUUCCUAACCUUAGACCCCCAAAACUAGUGGACUUACUAAACCCUAGUGUCACGGUGCGAGAAGGCGGGAAGGAGCCGGUCCACGACGAGGGGCUCGUCGACCUCGUGCGCGCGCGCUCUCUCUCUCUCUCUUCCCCCCUCUCUAGGGUUUCAAAAUUUGACCUGCAAAGAAGUAAGUAAUCUUUUCCUUCUCCGUGCUGCUCGAUGGACGCCGGCGGCUUCUCGGGUGCGUCGGCGGAUUCCGCUGCCGUCGAGAUUAAUCGGCUGAGGGCGGAGAAGGAGGCGCUGGAAGGCCGAAUCCGCGCGCUCGAGGCGCAGCUCGAGAACGCGCCGCCGGCCGGGGAGGAGACUCCCGCGAACGGGGUUUCCGGCUGCCGGCUGAGCCCCGAGAUGAUUUUCAGAUACAGCCGCCAUCUCCUGCUUCCGGAUUUCGGCGUCGGAGGUUCGCUCGUUGCCGAUUUCUUCUUCUUCUUCUUCUUCUUCUUCUUCGUUCGCAUGUCGUUGUUUGUGCCUAGACCCCGUUUGGGAUUGCGGGGAGAUUGCUUUAUGUGUGCGGUGAAAACUAUGACGAGAUGACGGUACGGAUAUUGGAGUGAGCCGGUUAAAAUAUAUUUUACGUCUAUAUGUUCUUUUUGCCCUAGUUUGUUGUGCACAAAUAACAAAUACAGAGCCGGAUGAAACGCAAUUAUGUAGCUUUAUACACGUAAAUCUUGGACAGAAAUGGUUCUGUGUAUCAAGAACCCUAAAGCUGAAUAAUUCUUUUGGAGGUUAUCAUUGAUUUUAUGAGGCUAGCAUGAAUAUCUAAUUCGAAACCAAAAAUACACUUCUCUGUGGGUUUUAGGCCCUGUUUGGCCCCGUGAGCAGUUGGCAAAGAGAAAAAUUGGAGCUCUUGAUGCAGCGGGAAGCAGAAAUGAGAUCUUGAGCAUCAAAAGCAGAAGCUCAACAUCGAGCUUGUGAUUUUGCUGCAGAGAGAAGUUAUUAUGGCACUAGUCAGGCAGCACUAUACCUUACGGCAGGCCAAAGAAGCCCUUAAUCGAAACUUCAUAUAAUAAUUCGGUCUCGAGAUUAAAAUGCAAGAAAACAUUCUUGUCUGAUUGGCCUUCUCUCUAUCAAUUAAACUUUGAAAACUUUUUCUUUUAUUGGUGUAUGAAUCAUUUCAGUGUACCUUACUUGCUUAACUUCCUGAACUUCCGCCACGGCUGCAUCUUUCUACUUUAGUAAUUCAUUUGGCCUGAUUGUAAAUUUUAAUCCAAUUGAUCCACAAUUAUAUAUUUUUAACAUUACCGACAUUUGGAAUCCUAUCUUUUUUACGUUCUAGUAGCUGGACUAGCUUUCAAUUUGAAAUGUAGAUACAAAAUUUGAACUUGUUGAUGAACUAGUGUGAAAAACCACUAUCUGGACAUUCGCAACUCUCCAUAUGUUUUAAGGAAAGGAGAAGCUGGAAAUCUCUUGGUUGUUAGUAUAAUAACAAGUUAUUUAAUGUUGAUGGGGGCUGAUAUUCAACAUACAUGCUAUUUUGGUUUGAGAACUCUUUAGGCAGUUUCAAAGCCUGAAGAGCACAAAACCUGUUUAUAUUGGGUAUUCUUUGCCUUGCUGAUCUACGGAGAAUGUAUGUUUCUCCUCUUUGAUAUUAAUAUCGUUAUUUUCAAUGUUAGAUAAGGUUUUACUUGUUUAAUUGCUUUCUCUUUGUCACAAGAAAUUCAGUCUGCAUCUCACUGUUGCAUUUGAAUUGGUCAAAAUAAUUUCGCUACCAGUACUUUAACGUAUGAAGUUUCUUUUCUUUUUCUAGGACUUCUUUUUCUGGUUCAUUGUAUAAAAAGAGACUGGAUCAAUUUAAGAGUGAUGUAAAUUGUUACUUAACGUCAGAAAAUUUACUUUUUCUUGUUCCUACUAUCAGGGCAGCGAAUGCUCUCACAGUCUUCCAUCUUGGUGGUUGGAGCUGGAGGACUUGGGUCACCAGUAGUGUUGUAUCUUGCUGCUUGCGGUGUUGGUAUUGUUUCUCUCAUAACGAAAAACCAUCUUGUUUUGCUUAUUUGUAUGAAUUAAUUAAUUAGUUUCUCUGUGUUCCCACAAGUUCUCACUUGUAACUCAUAGUUGAAAACAACUCUAUCUUAUAGAUCGUACUUUAUUUAGCAGUAUUACUUUUUCUAUUCUAUUAAACCUGUAUUCAAUGCCUCAAUUUUAAUUUUGGGCAUCUUUGUUACAGGUUGCUUAGGCAUUGUUGAUAGUGAUGUUGUUGAGCUUAAUAAUUUACAUAGACAGGUAUUUUUACUGCCUGCAACUUUAUUUUUCCAUCUUUUCUUCUCUCUACUCUCGAAAUAAGUACCAAUCGUUAAUUUAUUGAUUAUUGGUUCGUCUAACCUCAUAUUUAUAACCUAACUUAGUAAGAUUUGAUAAUCUUCCUUAUACCAUAUAUCGUCAUUAUACCUGGAACAAGUAUGAAGGUGUUAAAAUGAGAAAAUUAUGCUAUGUUAUUUUGCCUGGAGAAAUACACAAUAUUUGCCCGUUUUAUAUUUGUGUUUAUACACUUACAUUGUUCCUAUCUAUCAUGGCUUGAUUUUGGUUCUUUAUUUCUAUUAGAUUAUAAUUGUUUUGUUAAACGGGUGAUUUGGUUAACUUGCCCAAAAAUAUUGAUAAAUAAAAGAUGAGUUACUGUGAAUAUUGAUAAAUAUAAGUUCUCUUCUAUUACAUUCAUGUGAAUUUUGAAAUGUAUUAACUCCACUAAAAGUAAAAAAAAAGUUGUGACUGUUUUGCCUCUUUACCUUCUAUUGAGAAAUGUUUCUGAAUAUGUCAGAUAAGAUGAAUGUUUCCACCAGAACUAUCAUAAGAAUAGUAAGUCUUACAUAUUGUACAAAUAUCUCUCAGACCAUACUCUUUAAUUUCUUUGAUUUUGAACUACUUCCACACUUCGCUUGCUCUUUGUUUGGAUGUCUUUUUAGAAAUUAUGUCCAAAAUAUUCUGCAGAGGUUGCAAACUCUCACAAGAAAUACUAAAAAAUAAUCAAAUAAAAAAUAUUUGAGAAAAUUGUAAAACUAAAAAUUAAUAGAUUGAAUGUUGUCUUAAGAUUGGGAUCUUAUGCAGAGAGCUAGUGGAGAGAUUUUGUAGGGGGAGUUUUUGGAAAAGUUUAAAUGAGAGAAUAAAAAUUUGAAAUUAGAGAUUUGAGAGCAGAGAGAGAAUAGUAAUUAGAGAAGAAAGAGUAUUUUUUUUUUUUUUUCUGUUUUGAUGAAAUUGGAGGUUUGUAGGAGUAUUUAUAGGUGAAAAAAAUUUUAAUUUUUUUGUAACAAUUUAUUAGAGAGGGCAUUUUGGUUCACAUGGACCAAAAGAGUCGUCUCCAACAGGUCUAUGCCUGUUGGACCCUUUCCCCAAGGGUCUGCUGUGGGCACACCCUUGGGGAAAGAUCUUUUAGGCUUGGCUCCUAAAAGAUGAGUUGGCCUAUGCCUGGGCCUAGGGACGACCCUAGGCCUGGCCUAAAAUGCAUGGCCCUUCGGGCUUGGUUCAAGAGCCAAGCCUGAAGGGCCAUGCCUAGUGCGGUUAGUGCUUGGGCCGUGCUGAGGUGACGGGCCUGAGGAAGGUGGCCCAGAAUGACCUAGAGUUUCAGGCCUAGCCUAGCCGGGGUGACACGGGUAGUGUAGUAUUCAUGCUAUGCCUGGGUACCGCCCAAUGUCAUGUUGAGCCGCGUAGCUUGUGGGCAGCCUAGCCUGUUUUACAUUCCUAAAAACAACAUAUGCCAACCUUGCUAUGAAAUGGUAGUAUUUCAACAUUUAUCUAAAAAUUGCCAAGUAUUUCUAGAACUUUCAAGCUCUCUGUUCGAGUAAAAAAAAAGAUAUCUAUAUAAGAGUAAAAGAGAAGAAUAAUUAGAAUAGGAAUCAUAGCUUAUUUGGAUUCUUCAAAAAAAGAGAAGGAAAAGAAUUAAAAAAAAUUUCUAUUGUUUCCAAAAAAAAAAGAAAAGAAGAAAAAAAAAAGAGAAAGGAAAGAAUAAAAAAGGAGAGAAGGGUGGACUCACCCCUUUGGUCCGUACCGAGGAGGUGAGCCCACAUCCUCUUUCCAAAAAAAGAAGAAAGAAAAGAAUAAAAAAAAGAGAGAAAAGGAAAGGAAACAAAAAAAAGGUAAGAAAAGAAAACAAAUCUCUUUUUUUAUUUCAAAAAAAAAAAGAAGAGAAGAUAUACAAAUAGUAUUAAAUGUUUAAGUUCCUUAUAAGAUGUAAGGGAUAAAAAAUUUCUUUUUGAGGGAUUUAUUUUGAAUUUUUUCUAAAGAUAAUAAAUGAUUCUUGGAUCCCUAUAAAUUGGAUCCAAGGUGUAAGUAACAAUUUUUUUUUUUUGGUUUUGGCUAGAAAAAAAAAGGGCUUGAGAGAAACAAUGAAGAGAGAGAAGAAGGACAAAAAAAGAGGUAAAGAAAUUUUUUUUUUUUUUAUUUUCUCCCUACGUGUAAAGGGGGUCUUUAUCCCUGCCCCUCUCAUUCCACGUGCUGGCAGCAACAAAGGGAGGGGGGGUGUGCUCAGCACACCCCUCCCCCAAUCCGUACCCAAAAAAAAAGAAAAAGAGAGAGGCUUUGACUCUAAUGACGGCGCGACAACGACGACUUAGACAACGGCGCGACAAUGACGACUUCGACGACGCGCGAAGAGGCCAUAUGGCCUCUUUUCUUUUUUUUUAUUUUAUUUUCUACGAUGGUGAUGGGUUAGUGUAUACGUGCAAAAGGUGUAAUCGCGAUUUUUAUGUUGGUUUGAUCAACACGACCGUCUUCGUGAUAGGUUGAUCCGAUCAAAUUCGGCAUUGAAUCGUUAUUACAUUAUGCGUGCAUAUUUAUCAAGCCCGUCUCCCUCAACAUCGCCUCUGCUAUAAUGACGUCAAAAGAACAAUAUGUGUGCACAAGCGAUGGUGGCGAUCCUUGUGUCGGAUUGAUCGAGCGGCCGUCUUCGUGAUAGGCUCGACACUUUCAAUCUCGACAUUGGAUCGUUACCCUCAUUGGACCUAUAUUGAGCGGCCGUCUUCGCGAUAGGCUCGAUACGGUUGAACUCCGAUUCAAACUACAAUGAUGAUAAUAAUACUAAAAUAAUAAUAACACAAUAAAAUUUUCCUCGGGUCGCCGUCUUCGUGAUAGGUUUGACCCGAGUUCGGUUUAUUUAAACCGGGUCGCCGUCUUCGUGAUAGGCUUGACCCGAGUUCGGUUCAAUUAAACCGGGUUGCCGUCUUCGUGAUAGGCUUGACCCGAGCUCGACUAAUUAAAUCGGGUUGCCGUCUUUGUGAUAGGCUUGACCCGAGUUCGACUAAUUAAACCGGAUCGCAGUCUUCGUGAUAGCUUGAUCCGAGUUCGGUUCAUUUAAACCGGGUCGCCAUCUUCAUGAUAGGCUUGACCCGAGUUCGGUUCAUUUAAAUCGGGUCGCCGCCUUCGUGAUAGGCUUGACCUGAGUUCGGUUCAUUUAAACCGGGUCGCCGUCUUCGUGAUAGGCUUGACCCGAGUUCGACUAAUUAAAUCGGAUCGCUGUCUUCGUGAUAGGCUUGACCCGAGUUCGACUAAUUAAAUAGGGUCGCCGUCUUCGUGAUAGGCUUGACUCGAGCGAGCCAAACCAUAAUGAUAAAUCAAACCGGACGAUAAGCCGAUCCAGUCUAAUCAAAGGGUUUAAUUUAAAUCGAAUCUCAGACCGAUCAAUCUAAAUUGAACCAUUAAAGAUAUUAACCGAACCAAACCGAACUACAAGCUGGUUUGACUUGAACCGAAUCAUGAAGGAUUCGAACUAAAGUGGAUCCGAUUCGAACUGAACCGAAUCACGAAGGAUUCGAUUUGAAUUGAAGUGGAUCCGAUCCGAACUGAACCGAAUCGGAUCCCGUCUGAACCAAAUCACGAACGAUUCGAACCGAAAUGGAUCCGAUCCGAACCGAACUGAACCGAACCGGAUCCCGUCCGAACUGAACUAUAAAGGGUUCGACUUGAACCGAAGUGGAUCCGAUCCAAAACAAACCAAAGUGGGUCCGAUCCGAUCUGAACCAUAAAGGACUCGAUUUGAACCAAAAUGAAUCCGAUCUGAAUCGAACUGAACCAUAAAGGAUUCAAUUUGAACCAAAGUGGAUCCAAUCUAAACCAAACCACACAGGAUUUGAUUUGAACCAAAGUGGAUCCGAUCUGACCUGAACUACAUGAAGAUUGAGCUAAACCAAACCAAACCAUAAGUCGGCUCGACUUAAAUCAAAAUAUAAAGUAUUCAAGCUGAAUUACAAACUGGUUCAACUCAAACCCAAACCCAAAGACUGCGUUUGGUUCGGGUAUAAGUAAGAACUGCUUGUUCUAGGGAUAGGUACAAGUUCAAAUAUAAGCAGGAACUAGACCAAUUUUGCGUUUGGAUGAAAAUUGGGUUGUUCUUAGGAAUAAGAUAAAUAGUGUUUGGAUGGUUAGAAUGGAACAAGAGCAAUAAGAGUUAUAAUUUGAAAUUAAAAUUAUAUUUUGUAAUUAAUUAACAUCAAAAUAUUACUUAAAAAUAAAUAAUAAAUUAAUUAUUAAUAAUUAAUUAUAAAAUAAUAAUUAUUAAUAAUAAUUAAUUAUAAAAAAUAAAUUAAUAAUAUCGAUUAUCUAAUUAAUAAUAAUAAUAAUAAUUAAUAAUAAUUAAUAAAUAAUAAUAAUUAAUAAUUAUUAUUUAUUAAUUAUAAAUAAUAAAUUAAUAAUAAUAUCGAUUAUAUAAUUAUUAAUAAUAAUUAUUAUUAAUAUUUAUUAAUAAAUAAUAAUAAUUAUUAUUAAUAAAUUAUAAAUAAUAAAUUAAUAAUAAUAUCGAUUAUCUAAUUAUUAAGAAUAAUAAUAAUUAUUAAUUAAUUAUAAAUAAUAAAUAAAUAAAUUAUUAAUUAUUAAAGCAAUAAAUAAUGAUUUAAAUAUAUUAAUUAGAUUAAUUAAUAAUUCACUGCCAUUAAAAUUAAAUUUGGAUUUUAAUUAACCUUUUUCUUAUCAAGAAACAAGCUUAUUCCAGGAAAAGGGUGGAACAGCAGUUCCAGCCUUAUACCAGCUUGUUCUAGAAACUCGGGAAUUACUGUUCUCGGGUACCAAACAUACCGUUUGGGAAUAAAAGGGGGAACAAGGGCUUAUUCCCCUUGUUGUUCCCGAACCAAACGCUACCAAAAGGUUUUAAGUUGAGUCGGAAUGUAAGAGCUCAAUUUAAAUCAAACUCAAACAGAUCUUGAACCAAACCAUAUGGGUUCGAUCCAAACCGCAUUGAAUUAUAAGAAGGUCAAAGUUGAGCCAAGAUAUAAGGGCUCAACCCAACCCAAAAUUAAAGGGGGCUUGAACCAAGUCACAGAGGUUCGACUUAAACCAAGUCUCGACGGGCUCCGAACCAAAGCAUAAUGGUUCAACCCAAACCAAAUUCAAAGUGACCAAACAAACGUAAGGUCGUCCAACUCAAAUCAAACACGAAGGUUUUAAGUCAAUUCAACUUGAACCCAAUCGUGAUGAUUCGAGUUAAGUAAACCAGCUCCAUUCCAACCGAAGCAAAUUGGCGGUUCAAACUGAGCUAAAUUCAACUCAAUUGGCUAAGUCAACUUAAUCGACUCAUAAUCCGGAAACAAAUGUCCCUCAAGUCGUUAAACUGAACAAAUGACCCUCAAGUCGUUAAACUGAACAAGCAAAUCAAACUCAAUAUGACCAUAAAGUCGUUAAACUGACCAAUUAAAUCAAACUCAAUUUGACCACCAAGGCGUUAAAUUGGGUAAUCAAAUUAAACUCGAUUUGACCGUCAAGUCAUUAAACUGAGCAAAUUAAAAUGAAAUUCAAUCUCAAACCGACCGCCAUGUCAUCGACCGCCAAGUCGCUAAACUAAGUAUUCUAAUCUUAUAAAAUUCAUGUACAGUUGGGGUAUGCCCCUGCUUAAGCCAUGUACACGGCAAAUCGUAUUAAUAAAAUUUUAUCUGCUUGUUUUAUGUCUUUUACUAUCAGUAUUUAUAUUUGGUCUCUUAAUCGAGGGUUCCGUAACACCGAAAGUGUGGGGUAACAGCAGAUUCUUGAGUAUGUUGGAAGUCAUGAACCUAUAAUCUUAAUUUUAAAAUAAAACAUAAAUAGAUUUAACCUCUACCAUGAAUGACCACUCGCCUUAGAAAUACCUACGGCGGGGCCGGUUCGUUCGCGGCAGACGCUCUCCCAGUCAAACAUAAGACAAAUCAUAUUAGUCAUAUUAGCUCAGACCUGGGUGAAUCAAUUACAUAAUGUUUUCUUGCAAUGUAGAAGCUGAGAACAUCAGCUCUUUUGAGAUUCUUUCAGAUUCAUGGACUUUUUUGUGCCUUUGAUCAAGAUUGGGGAAUUGCUUAUAGUUCAUGGAUGUGUUGUGGUGAGGUAGGAUUUGGCAAUGAGUCUGGUUGGGUUAAGUUGAGGUGGCAUAGUAGGGUACAUAGGUUUGAUCCAAACUUGACGCCAUUUCUCUAGGAGACCAGCUUAGCUAGCGCUUAUUCAGGUUAUAAGUGCUACUUUGGUGAGGAUUUGCCUUAAAAAGCAACAAAAAUUUGGAGGAUAGAGCGUGAGAGAGAGAGAGAGAGAGAGAGAGAGAGAGAGAGUAGACCCUUUUCUUCUUUCAAUGUGCAACAAAGCAAACGAGGAUUCAAGGUUUAUUACUUUCCUUUUCUCCUUUCAAUGAACAACAAAGCUGACAAGGGUUUAAUAAUUGGCACUUUCCUAUGUAUGUGGGAGGGAGGAAGGGAAUGCACAACGAAGCAAACAAGGUUUCAAAUAUUAGUACUUUCCUAUGCAUAUAGGAGGGAGGGUGCAAGUAUAACAGAGCAGACGAGGGUUCAAGGAUUAGCACUUUCCUAUGUAUAGAGGAGAGAGAAUGGGCAUCAUUUCUUUUCUUUUCUUGGCGUCAUUCCUUUUCUUUUCUUGAUACAUGGUAAACUAGGAUAAAGUGGCAGCCUUAACAAAUAAUAUAGGGGCGAGAGAGUGGGAAGGGACGGCAGCCCCUCUUUGUUUCGGAUGCAUGCCAAAGAAAUGGUCCAAAUAAUAAUCUUUCAGUUGAGAAGAAAAAUCUAUUCUUUUUAAUGUAUCGACUAUUGAAUGCCCUUCGGUUAGGGCUGGCAAAUGAGCGAGCCGGCUCGUGUUCGACUCGCGUUCGACUCGAUAUUUGGCUCGCUCGAGCUCGACUCGAAAUUAAAUGACGAGCUUGAACAAAAAAAAAAGCUCGAAAUUCAUUUCAAGCCGAGCUUGAGUAUUACUCAGCUCGUUCGAAUUAGGCUUGAAAAGCUCGAAAAGCUCGAGUAUAUAUAUAUAUAUAUAUAUAUAUAUAUAUUACUAUGCUAUCGAAAGUAUAGAGGAUCUGGCGUUUUCGAUUUUUUGAUUCUUAGAUCAACUCCUUUAAUCAUUUCUUAUUUUUGGAUUAAUACUAUUAUUACCUUGUAAAACCACUUAAUUCUAGGGGUAUUAUUUAAUCCUAGGGGGGAUCGCAAUCAUUCCAACCAUACAAUUCUUAAUCAAAGGUCAAAAAUUCGAAAAUAUCAAAUUCUUUAUAUUUUCAAUAGCAUAGUAGUUCCACAUUAUAUAUAUAUAUAUAUAUAUAUAUAUAUAUAUAAAUUUAUAAUAAUAUUUUAAUUAUAUAUAGGCUGAGUGAAUAAUCUGAGUUUAGUUAAAAUUGGGCUAAUGUUGUUGGCCCAUAAAAAUAUUCCUAAUAGAACAAUAAAAGAGCGAAAUUUCACUAAAUUUAUACAUUUUUAAUUUCUUUUCUUUCUUUUAUAGAGCUUAAAUUCUCAAUAUGUUUCUCUCUUUCUCUUUUCUGUCUCUCACCCUAAGUGGCCAAGCCUGAAGCCCUCUAAGUUACCAAGUAACAGCAUAUACCCGCCGUUGCCUACCUUGCUAUUAAUUGUAUACUUGAGAAAUAUACAGAAUAUUUUUAAAGUAAAAAAUUAUUAUUCAUAUAAAAUUUUAAUUUUAGUUAUAUAUGAUUGGAUAGUUUAAUCCAAUAUUUAUCUAUAUAAUUUAUUUAUUUUUGACUGUAUAAAUGAAAAUAAAUAAUAUGGAGAUUGAAGGCGGAAGAAAAGACAUGUGAGGCUGAAAAGAUUAGAUAUUCAACUCAUAAAUUAUUUUUUUUCAUAUUAUAAUACUAUAUUUUGUAUAAUUAUUUUGUACUUUGAACUAUUAGACAUAUUUUUGUAUCAAAUUAUAGAUAAUGUUCUAUACAAAUUAAACUAUUGAUCGUAUGAUGUUGAGAAUUUCAAGCGGCUCGUUUAGGGCUCGAGCUCGCUCGACUCGAAAUUAGGCUCGCUCAAGCUCGGCUCGAAUUAAUUUCAAUCCAAACUUGAGCUUAAAUUUAGGCUCGAAAUUAAUUUCAAGCCGAAAUUGAGCCGAGGCAAGCUCGCUCGAGCUCGGCUCGUUUCCACCCCUGCCUUCGGUUUACCUAAAUAUAUCUGUAUGAAUGUUCUGAGAAGAACUAGUUGCCAUGACCUAUCCAAAAAAUAGUCUACCUGAGUUCAACCUUACCUGCCAACCUGUUAAAUGUUCUUGGCUUGUACUCGACACCUUUAACGAACAAAAGUGUUAAAAAUACCUUCUUGGGGUGGAGAUUGGCACAUCUAUGAUAGGUGAUUAUUUUGUAAAUCUUGAAACAUUGGUUGUAAAUCUUAAAACAUUGGUUCUGAUCUCCCGAAUAUUGUAAUUUGAUUCGAUAAUAGUUUCUACUCAAAUCUUUUAGAAAUGUGCCUUCUAUGUUAGAUAACUUGCUUUAGACUCAUGUAGCUUCUCUUAGUGCCCUGUUUUUGUGCUCAUAUGAAUACUUGUAUGAAUACACUCUUUUGCAGUUUUUGAUUGUCUAAGCAUGUAAGUCACAGUUGCUGAUUGCCAGUAAUCAUGCCUAUAAAUAUAAAAGAUUGCUGUACCAUGCGAUUUCAACCUUAUAUCUACCCAUUAGCUGUGACUUUUAGCCCCUACAGCUUUAUUUGUUGGCAUUGCUGCCAGCUGGACUUUUUGCAGAAUAAAAAAAAGAUAUUAGCAGGAAAGAAUUGUCAACACCCCAUUUUGCCUAUAAAAUGUUGUCUCGCAGUUGCUGCUCCUGUCAACCAUUAUGCCUAAGGCAGCGGCUGUUAUUUGCGAACUCCAAAUUUGUACUACUUUUAUGGCAUAAAAUGUUAAUUUUUGUUAACUAGUAUAGGGCCUGCACUGUGCGGCGGUAGGUGGUAUUUUAGACAAUUAGUAUAUUCAGUUAUUAAAAUUUUAAGAUUGAAAAAAUUAUAACUAAAGAAAUACAAAAGAGGAAAAAAAAACUAAAGUAGUCUUUUGUACAUUAUAAAAAAUAACUUUUUUAUUAAUAUUUUCUUAACUUUCAGCAUUUGUAAAAUUAAAUUAUACUAAUAAUUUUAUUUAAAAUUCAAUCAAAUUUUUUACUUUUGAUAGUUAUUUUGUAAAUAAAUUUUUUAACUGAAAAGUUGAAGUUGGAGGACUUAUUUUAAGUUGAAGAAUAGGUGAGGGUAUCUUUGUGUUAAGUAUAAAAAUAUAUAAACACCGUUCUCUAACAGCCUAAGCUUUUAGAUUAGAACGGUUGUUUUACAUAGUAUCAGAGUAGGUGGUGGUGAGUUCGAGUCACGCUAGGCUCUAGCAUUAUUAAUUUCCUCCCAUCCAUUUAAUUUAAGUUCACAUCGUAGGCCUUCUCGAGCCCAGACGUGAGGGGGAAUGUUAAAUAUAAAUAUAUAAACACCGUUUUCUAACAGCUUAAGCUUUUAGAGUACAAUGGUUGUUUUCUCACUUUGCCUUGUUAAAAUUGAUUGGAGAAAGAGAAACUAUUACAUGCACCUAGUGUAUAAUAAUACUCUAUACACCGCAACUUGUAUUAGAUGAUUAAUGCUCUAAUAUUAAAAUUUAAUUAAAUAUGUAUCAUCUACAAAGUCUAAUAAUUUAAAUUAUAUUUGAUGAAUUAAUUUUAAAAUCUCUAUUAAAGAGUUUUAGGCAUGUAGUGUAUGUACAAACAUACACUUGGUGUAGAGAAUGUUUAAUAAGAUGCACUCAUAAUUCCGAGAGAUUAGAGAAAUCUUUGCUUACACCUGGUGCGUACGAAUGCUCCAUACACCACACAGAAUAUUAGAUGAUUGAUAGAAUAUUUGAUAAUUAAUAUUGUAAAAUAAAAUAUGAUAUAAUAUAUAUAAUAUAAAAUAUCUAAAUAAUUUGUUGUACUACAGAAAUUUAUCUUUGAUGCACAUUUUAGAGUCGAUUUACGGUGAAAUGGGUGCGUCCAAAAUUUUUGUUGGAUAUGUGGCAAACUCCCAUUGGUUUAUGCCUUAAUUGGCAAUGUGGCUCUCUCACAAAGCAUUUUCUUGACGUGACCGAACUGUCAAAUUAUAUAUUGUGUAGAUUCCUGCUACUAUUUACCUUAAUAAUUACUCAUUGUAGUGGAGUUAACUAAUUAGGCUAUUGUUUGCAUAAAUUAUUUGACAAGACAUGCCUUUAUUCCAUUUAUAUAUAUCUAAACCGAUCUGUUCAUGUAAUUUAUUAAUAUCUGUUAAAAAUGUCUGGUUUCAGCAAUUAAGUUUUGUAUGUCCUCGUUCUUAGCCCUAGUAAUGUGUCAUUCUUUUAUAUUUUAUCAUUCUAUUUUAGGACUCUACUUUCUCGAUAUAUUGUAUAGUGUGCACAGAGCAUUUAUGAAAAGAACCCCCUUUAUAACAUAAAAAAUGCUGGAAUGAGGUCUCAUCAAACCAUUACAGAGACCAAAAGCAUGAAAAGUUUGUUACUCAAAUUUUCAUGAUACACAGCUAAACAUGAAAAUUUCUUUGUUUGUUUUGUUAAAUCGUUUGAUAUAUCUCCUCCAAGUCCAAUUUUAUACUUUAGGUUUUCUUUAAAUGUUGAUUCAGAUCAUCCAUACAGAAGCAUAUGUUGGGCAAUCAAAAGUUAAAUCAGCUGCUGCUUCUUGUCGUGCGUAAGUAAUUGUGCGUUUUUUGCAUUAUUAUAUAACUUCCAUUAUUGUAAAAGGCUACUGUGACUUGUGUAUGUCAUAUGCUAUAAUGAUUCAAUUUUUAAUGGCCAUUUUCACAAUUUCCUUUAUUUUAUGUUACCUCAGGAUCAAUUCCUCUGUUAAGGUGGUAGAACACCAAGAAGCUUUGCAGGCAAAGAAUGCUUUGGAUAUUGUUGAAAAGUAUCCUCAAGUGAGAAACACAUUAGAAUUUAAACAAACACUUCUAUUUGAUAUGAUCAUGCUCUUUCCCAUGCAAAUACAUUUUUCUUCUUUUUCCAAGACUGAAAUGAUCAAAGAUAUGAUAUAGUGGUUGAUGCAACCGACAAUCUUCCUAGCCGAUAUAUGAUCAGCGACUGCUGUGUCUUGCUCAAUAAGGUAAAACAUAUUACCUGUUUCUUUUGUUGGUGGAUUGGUAUCAUCAGAACAUAUAUUAUGUGUUGAAGCUUCUAGUAGUUUGUUUUUGUGCUUUCAAUUUAAUUGAAGCAGUAUAUUAGUGCAUAAAAUCCACAAAUUGUUAUUUAUGUCGCAGUUUCAGUUGUAUAUUUUUAUCGUUUUUCCUGUGAAUUUUAAGUUGCAGUGAAGAGAAUUUUUUUUCGUUCUUGGCGAUUACAAACUGAUAAUCCUGACAAUACACAUAUUUUACAUUCUUGGAGGGUCUGAUUUGUCCAAUACAUAUUUUUAUGCAAUGUAUGUACUGUAUGCGUUGAAAUAUGAAAAUAAAUAUUCAAACAACUUAUUUUGCUAUGCUUAACUGUACCAAAGCGUACAAACAUGUAUGUAUACAUACAUAUAUAUUAUAUAAAGACAUACACAGUUAUACACAUUCGAAUAAUUGAUGCAUGAUGGUCAGAUAAUCCUUUAGUGUAUUGCUUACCCUCGUUGACACAAUAGUGUGCUAUCUAUAGAUGAUUUUAACAUUUUAAUUUCAUUAUCUAUAGUAUUCUUCCUAUUUUCUUGACUGAGCUGUCUUAUAGAGGGAAGCAGAUAUCAGUAAGAUAUCAGUAUGUCCUGAUCUUGCAUUUUACGUGCUUGACUUAGAUAGUCAUUAAAUUGCAGAAUCCAAUGCCAAAAAAAAAUGUUUCAUUGUUAUCAUUUGAGGAAAUUAUUUGUCCUUUGAAGCUUUAGUGUGAGAAGCAACAAAUUAUUUAUUCUGGGCGUUUUACUGCUAUCAUCUGUGCUACGUACUUUUUGGUGGCCUUUUCCAUUGUGUUAGUUCAUGCAAACCUAUGAUCGACAUCUGGAUCAGUGGUCCAAAUAAAUAAAAGCCUGGAAACAUAUCAUCUCUUUUGGAGUUUCUAGUUAGAGAUGUCGAAUAAAUAACGCACACGGUCAAGUAGUUGGAUUUCUUAUGAUUCCCGAGUUAUUCUUUUACCAAACAAAGAGUAAAGUACAGUGCAUCUGUGUUUGCUUGUGUGAAAAUUGGAAUUGCCCUUGGACUGAUACUUCUACAUGAUUUCAGUGUGGAAUAUUUAUUGCUAUAUUAAUCCUAUUGAUUUAGCUUUUAGCUACAAUAAAAAUAAUUUUAUGCUUGACUGGCAAAUUCCUUCUUUCAGCCUCUUAUAUCUGGUGCAGCGUUAGGCUUGGAAGGGCAGGUAAAGUUUUCCUUAUUUGAAAUAAAGAUCAUGGAAGACUUUAACAUCUGUUGCCUUCGGUAUGUUCUUAUGCAACUUUUCAUGCAGCUUACUGUUUAUAAUCACAAUGGAAGUCCUUGUUACCGGUGUCUUUUUCCAACUCCACCACCGACGGCAGCGUGUCAAAGAUGUUCUGACAGCGGUGUUCUUGGGGUGGGUGAGUUGCUCAUCUUUUAUCUAUUGCAUGCUAUCGAAUUAUAAUCCAACUUAGCAACUUGGACUCUGGAGUUCUAGCUUGAUCCUCUUUCUCUCUUAAUGUAUUCUUCUAAUUUUUUCGGUUCAUUCUUUCUUUGCUUUGCAUUAUCCUUUAGUCCUUUUCACAGAAAUAGAUGGUGCACUAAUUUGCUUUCUUAAUGAUCAGUUCCUGGUGUGAUUGGUUGUCUACAAGCUCUUGAGGCUAUAAAAGUUGCUGCUUCUGUUGGUGAACCCCUCUGUGGGAGGAUGCUUCUCUUUGAUGCAUUGUCUUCUCGUAUUCGGACAGUAUGUUAGUUCAUACAGUUGUUAAAUUCAUCUGAUGGUUGAAAAUUUCAGUUUAAUUACUGCUAUUAUCAAAUACUUAGCUUCUUUAAUUCAUCAUUGUUUCGAAUGCUCUAGGCAAAUUUACAUACAUAUAUUACUGACAUGGAUAAUGAGAUUGAUUUGUCCUAAAAUGAGCUAGGCUUGUUUGUCUCUUUUUUUUUUGAUUCACCUCCUUAGUACAUCAAACCAGAGAAUAUGAAGAGGGGCUUUAAAUUUGGUCUUAGUAGAUACCGUCCAACAAUGUGCGAAGGUGAGAGGUAACCUAACUACCUAUCUGUCUAAACCUGCAAGUAUACUUAAAGCACGGGAGCUGAUAUUCAAUAUUCACAAAUCUAAGUUUGAUAGGGGCAGAGCUAUUUUCCGAUUAUGCACUUCAAGUGGUAACAAAAGUGGCUGUCAUUGAUUGUUUAAGGGGCAGACCACUUGAUAUUGCAUGGAUCUGUUCUGCCUCUAUCAAAAUAGGAGCUGUGAACACCAUCUCCCUUAAAGCAUGGAUUAAAUGUGAUUUUGCAUCUUUUUGUUUGAGGAUUCUUAUGUGGUGCAGAUUAUGUGAUAUUUCCUAUGUCAAGGCAAAGAAAGCACAUUUAUUUCUUCUUCUUUCUUCUUCCCCCCGCCCCUCUUCGGAGCCAUAUGUAUUGAACCCAGAGCCUAGGACUUGAGACCCAAAUUUACUCCCAUAUGGAGGCUCGAACCUCCAGCCUCAGAAUAGGCAAGUAGGCAUCUUGCCACUAGAAAAUGAUCAUGAAUGUUUUCUACCGAACAAAGCGAGAACAGAACUGUGGUAUGUGUUCCUGUAGUGCUCUAUGCAUGAAUAUUAUGUCCAGCAGGUGGGGAACUUUUGUAAUUAUACCGUUUGAUUUAUAGGCUUCAACCUGUCCCAUACUUGUAAAAUGAAGUUUGACAACUCCUGUAUAAAGUGUAUUAAAGAUCCAUUUAAUUUAGGGAAACAAAGGAUUAGGCCAAGAAAGUUUAGCAAUUAGUUUUGCAAUUUGAAUUUGUAUUCUGCAGUCCCAAUAUGAUGAAAGGUCUUACAAAAAAAAAAUCUUUGAGCAUCAUAUGAAAAAUAUAUAAAUAUAUCCUCUAUUAUGCCAUCAUAAUUGCAGUCCCAAUGUAGUGACAGCUAAUAGCAAUGUUUUCUUCACUCUCCUAUAUUUUAGUUUUUCAUUUCAAUACAGACAAGUCGUCGUGUUCUUCUGCAUCUCUCCGUUUAUGAACAUUACUGCAUUGAAAUUUUGAAUUGAUAUAUAUUUGAAAAACAACAACAACAGCACAAUCAACCAUUUCAGUUAGUUGCAUAGAUCUUUAUUGCUCAAGGUCCAAAGAGCUAUCAUCUUUCGUCACAAACUUUUUUGUUUUUCCUCUCCCUCAUAUGACAACUGUAACUUGAGAUGCACACUCUUCCAGACUGGUGGGUACAGGGCAUCUGUCAAACAUAUUCAAACCAAGGAUUUUCUCAACAACAACAAAAAAAAAGAUUGCAUUAAAGUUGUCAUGUUUUUUUUUUUUCCUGCUAAUCUGAUGGCUAAUGUCUGUUUAGAAUUCAGCAUCAAUUUGGCAAUCAACUUGUUGAUGCAAGCUUAACAGCAUGACAUCUACAUGCCGCUUGAAAAUAUUCUUCAAGAUCUAUCUGUUUGUUUAUGAUCAUGUUUCGUUGUGUCAUUCAGAAUCUUGAAACAAAGCUAAUCUUCCUAGUAUUAUGCUGAUGUACAUGGCUUGAUAUGAUCUUUCUGGACGAAAUAUGUGACCGAAUUUUUUUAUUUUUUAUUUUUUUUGGUGACCUAUACUAGGGCAAGAAUUUACUUUCUAGUAACAUUUGUUAUCAUUGUUACACUUGACAACCUGAAGUUCUUUGGUUUGAACUCUCUUUGUUAUUCAGUACUGUCGGAUUGUUAUGCCUAAAAGGUAAUCAAAUUGGUAUUACAUAGGUUUGUGUUUUUAUUUGCACUUUGAUGAGAUCUCCACUUUGAUGCCGAUAAUUGGACUAUUGUAUCAUGCAAGAAUGAAAUUUAUAUAAUGGAAGUGCGACAUAAGAAACUAACACAGUAAUAUGCCUGAUAGUAUUCUUUCCAAUUUGAUCAUAUCAUUAUUAUUAUUUUUCUUGGUACUGCUUUUGUACAACCUAAAAUCUUUUAAGAUAUUUAGCACUUCAGGGAUUUACGUUAACAUUUGGGACAAAAUUCCCAGGUGAAAAUUCGAGGAAGAUCGCUGUAUUGCAGUAUCUGUGGAGAUAAUUCAGUUUUCACCAAAGAAGAAUUUCAAACUUUUGAUUAUGAGAGCUUCACCCAGUCUCCAAUGUCAGAUAAGGUAUUUUUUCUGCACAAUUAAUUUGAUUUUUCUUGGCUCACACUUUUAUCAUUCUACUGGAUAUUUUCCUAAAUGCUUAUUAUCUUUUACUUUUUGUUGAACGACUAGAAUUACCUAAAAAAUGCACGUAAAUGUCUUGCGAUUAGUUUUUGAUGUUGAAAAUAGUCAUGCAGAAUAUUUGUUUUUCCUGUACAUAAAUUAAACAUUCUUUCACCAUUAGCAAAUCAUAUCCCAAAAUCAGUAGGAAGUAAUUCAGCUUUGACUUGGUUAGAACUUGGGUUCUAAGAUAGCAGAGGAAAUUUAUUGAUUGCAUUUUUACUUCUUACAUAUUUAUUUGCAAGGCACUGAAACCUUAUUUAAGUAGCAUGUUGACUUUUAAAUCACACAUGGAAAAUAACAACCGCCAGGGAAAUUCGCCUAAGGCUGCGUUUGGUACCAGGAAUAUUCCGGAACAACACGGGAUAUCCCCCAAUUUGUAACCAAACGGUGAAAGAACAGAGGGAAACGGGUUGGUCUGAUCAAAGCGGAUUGUUUUGGAACAACCCAUUAAAAAUUGUUCCUAGGAGAACUGAGAACAACUUUAUUCUUCUCUUUACUUUAUUAGAUAAAUAGAUAUAGAAAUCAAUAUAUUAAUAUAAAUAUUACUUUUAUGAUAAUAUAUUUAUACUUAAAUUUUAUUAUAUAGUAUAAAGUAAUUAAAUUUGAUAUAUUAUUUAUUUUAUUAAGAUUUAUCAUUUAUAUAUUAAUAUUUAAUUAUUUUAUUUUAUAUUAAGUAUUCUAUAUAUAAAAUUAUUUUUUCAUGUAUUAUAAUUUUUUUUAAUUUGUAUUGAAAUUUAUACUAUUAUUAAUUAAAAUUAUAAGGAUAUCGUUACAUAUAUUAUGAAUAAAUUGUAUAAAAUAAUUUAUUAUUAUUUAUAGUAAAAUAAAUAUACUAUUUAAAAUUAAAUUGUUACAUAAAAUAUUAUAUUAUAAAUUACUAUAAGAAAUAACUUUAUAAAUAAUUUUAUAUAAAAUAUACUAAUAUAAAUUAAUUAUUUUAUUUUUAAAAAUAUAUUUUUAGAUACUGUUCUAGACUUUGUCCAAACGCUACUAAGGAUAUCCUCGAGAAUAUCCCCGAAUACAUCCAAACAGAAAUUUAUAAUUGUUCUAUCUUGUACCGGAAUAUUCCUUGUUCUCAGGAACAACAAAAGUUGUUCUAAAUGAAAUAAACGAAACGGGUAGCGUGCUACCUAUCUCUCUCAAAAAAAAAAAAUAGUUUUCCAACCAAAUGCAGCCUUUAAGAGACCGUUUGGUUCAAGUUUUGUAAUAUUGCGGGAAUAUUGUAUAUUUUAUACUAGGAAGGGUAAGUUUGUUGCCAACUUGUCAAGCUAUCUGGAUUAGGAGAUUGUUAAGAGUUGAUAUAUUCUUAUUAAUAGACUACAAAUGAUUCUUGUCAAGCAUGAAAACGAGAAUGUCUCCUAUCCCAUAUUAAUCUAGUAUUCUAAUUGCUUGGGAAUCUACAAUGAUUUCACUAUUCAUAAUAUCUUUUACAACUAUCUAACUUGAGUUGGAUGGCAAUGAUUGGAAUAUUUUAAUAGAAAUAUGGAAGAUUACCGGAAUAUUACAAUCUUGAACCAAACGGCCCUGAAAAGAUCGUUGGAGUUUCCCUCUCAAGUAAAGGUAAAAACAAGAGGGAUGCUUUAAACUAUAGUAUAGGCUAUUUUGGAAGAGACCACAAACUAUUUUUCUUUUGAUUGACACUCCUGACCUUUUGAUUCUUUUGAUUUAAGUUAUUUUUAUCAAUUAAAUUUGAGAUUUUAUCAGUUCAGCAGUGAUUCUGAUGAGUUUAAUUGUUCUGAGAGCUUUCUCGGCAAAUGAAACGACGGAUUCGUUAAUUGUUCACAGCUUAUAGCUAAUGAAGCAUUUUAUUUUAAUGAAUCCCCAUUUCAAGUCUGGGAAACCAACUCAAAUUUAAACAAUUAAAAGUCGAGGGGUGCCGAUCCCAAAAAAGGAAAAACUGAACGGUCUUUUUCUUGAAAAUUACCAUCAAUGCUCGUAGUUUUUGAGGGGCUUAUUUGCGAUAAAAACUGUGCAUGUUAGACACACUUGUGCCGUGAAGGACCCAACCGCAAGUGACCGUUAAAGUUGGAAGUGUGUGCAAAAUUACCAAUUCAUUAGAUGUGAAGCAAUUGAUACAGUAAAAUUAUCAUUAAAACUAAGUGAACUCUGUUGGUGUUUCAAUUUAAUGCAGUCGCGACCGAAGCUGAGCCUGCUUCCAGAUGACGCUCGGAUCACCAGCAAAGAGUACAAAGAAAUAGUCGACAAGGGCGAGUCGCAUAUGCUCUUGGACGUACGACCUGCGCACCACUUCAGAAUAACCUCGAUCCCUCAUUCGGUGAACAUCCCGCUAUCUGUAUUGGAGGGCGAGUUUUCGAAGCUCGACUCGGCUCUGACAAGUUCGGGCGAGGGCUCUGCCUUGUAUGUGGUUUGCAGAAGAGGCAACGACUCCCAGCGGGCGGUUCAGCUUCUCCGAAACAAAGGGUUUGUUUCCGCGAAGGAUAUCAUCGGGGGUUUGGAGUCUUGGGCGCAGGAUGUUGAUCCGAAUUUCCCUGCAUAUUGAUGUAAUAACUCCUCGAAUCGAGGACUAGGGCAACUAUUUAUUUUAUUUUAUUUAUUUUAUCGGGCGAGUUGCGUGAUGUACGAACAAAAAUGUAUCACCAUAAAUACUGACCAAAAGUGUAAGGGACGUAGGUAGAAUCUGAAGCUCUUCCAGUGUAUAAUGUACUCUCUAUUUGUUACCCAACAUUUGAGUUCCAGGUAGGCAUCAUCUUACUUGAGUUUCCCUUUUUUUUUUUUUUCUUUUUAAUAAAGGUGUUAUCUCUCUGAUUAAAAUGUGUGGAUCAAGGAUUUAAGUAUCCAUUGAUACGAGCAGAAUCUACUGUAAUGUGUAAUAUCGAUAUGAUACAACUCUUUUGCGGAUGAUACACUUUAAAACCCUCUUUUCUGUAAAUUAGUCAGAAAUUUUUUUUAAUGAAGUUCGAAGAUUUGAUAAAGCUGUAUAAUAAAUAAUUAGAAUAUUUUGUUGUUAAAAAAAAUAAAAAUAUUAUGUAAUUAUGUGUCGGUACACAUGUAUGUUUUGUGCCCGAUAUUUUUCGAUAUGGUCUGGUAUGUAUCGUGCUGUGCUGUUAAAUUUUCUGGCAUAAUGUUAUGCCACAGCAUUUAGAUCUCUGGUAUGGAUGAUACCUGCACAAUUUUGAUGUGACAAGUUGGUCAUUGCACUUUUUAUGUAGACAAUUAUUUUUUUGAAGAAGAACUGCCUAAUAUUGAAACAGGGUUAAGUAGGCUAUUGGUUCCCAACCUUGACCUUUAUUAUUAUUAUUAUUAUUAUUAUUAUUAUUAUUAUUAUUUCUUUUAUAAUUUGAGUCCCAAGUUUUUUAAUUUUUGUAAUUAGGUUGCCAAAUCUUUAAUAUUUACUCCAAUUAAGUCUUUUCAAUUAAAAGUGGCAUUAGAUUAGACGGGAAUGGCCACAUUACAAGGGGUGGUGCUGACUCCUCAUCAAUUUUUGACGACGGUGAUUUAAUUGAAAUAAAAAAAAAAGACAAAGAUUAGGGAACCCAUGGCAAAAAUUAAUAGGUUGAUAGAAAAAAUGUCGGUGAUUAAUUUAAUUGAAAAAGAAAACAAAGAUUAGGAACCCCAUGGCAAAAAUUAAUAGGUUGAUAAAAAAAAAAAAGUCCUUUUCUUAUGAAAUGACCAUUUAUCCUUUCUCUAAUGUGCUUAUAUAUAUUAGUUCUUUAUUUAUUCAAGCAGGAUUCGAACAGAUUAUUUCUUUUACAGCAAAAAUUAAGAAUCUUCUUAAUAUUCAGAGAAUGAAAAGUGCAUAUACGAAUGGAAAGUUAAGGGACCCAGUGGCGACGUCGCGAUAGAUCGGUGGCUAUUCAUCUAUUUUACCUUUUUUUUUUUUUUUUUUUUUUUUUUUUUUUUUCUUUUUUUGGAAAAUUCUGUUUGCAAACUAAAAGUAGGAUGCAGUUAAUCUUACAUACUAUCUGGAGUUCAUAAAAAAUUUAAAUAAAUUUUAAUAAAAAAUUUGGUGUGAUAUGUAAAAUUUUUUUUUUUUAGGAAGCGUUUGGUUGGCGGUAUUGAUUAUUUAAAUAAUUUGGUAAGUAAUUCGGUCGAAAAUAUUUUAAUUUUAAAAAAAAUAUAAUUCUCGAGAAUCUUAUUAAAGGUGGGGGAGGGAGUACCCACAACAGGUACUUGGAAAUCAUACAAUUCUCGAUAAUUUUAUUGCUGUGCAUAUAAUUUUCGUUGACUUUUCAUUAUUCAAGAAUCAUGUAUAACACAAACCAACCGUUUCAAUAAAAAAAAAAAACAACUGUCUCUAAUGCAAGUGGCAAAAGAGGGUUUGGUGGUUGGGGGUUUGGUGGUUGGUACAAGAGAUUUCAAGUUCGAAUCCUAGUUGAUUUAGCUUUUUAGCUAAGUUCAUUUUUAAAUAAAAUAAACGAAACAGAUAGUAUACUACGUACCUAUCUCUCAAAAUAAAAUAGACUCGAUAAAAAAAGAUGUAAGAUAUAAUUCUAUUUUGAGGUAUACUAAUUAUAGCAUUGCAUUUUUUUUUUUUUUCUCUUGACGUAGAGAGCAUAAAUUAACAUGGGACACGACUAUUUAAACGAGAAUACCCGCUUGCUAGCUUUGGCUUGUGCGUAUGGGGGAGGUUUCAGGUGUGCGCCUGCGUUACAUAUAAGGAGGAGAAUUAAGGGGCCUACAAACCAGGUAAAAGAAAAAAAAAGAAAAGAAAAAAGACUAAAUUAAAUGAGAAAUUGUUGUAUUAAUUUCUCUGUUUUGGGAUAAUAUUAAUAAUUGCAUGCAAUUAAGUUGCCUUCUAUUCAUUGUUAUCUCCAUUUUUUAGUGUCAUAAUUAUAUAAUAAUAAUAAGAUAACCAUGCUAACAUUUGUUGCCUCCAAAACGAGCCUGCACUUUGGAGAAAUUAGCUAUAAUUCACAAAAGAAACCUACAUAUAUGUUUUUGCUAACCAUUCUUAUAUAUGUCAACCUCUUAUCAAUCAUGGUCUACUUGUAAUAAAAUGGAAAAUUAAUUCAUGUCUACGCCAAUCCACAAAUCAUUUACCAAAAAUAUAUAACCAAGCUAACUCCAUCAUUAAUGUUUUCUACAUAUUUGAUCCUCUUAAGUAAUCAUGCAUACAUAUACAGGUAGAGAUAAAUACAAAGAGAGAGAUAAAGAGGAGGGAGAAGAGAGGAAGCAAUUAUAUGAAAUGGGAUGGUCGGAUAGAUUUGCGCGGUGCUAUCCGUUUGCCGCCUUAGUUGCAGAGGUCCUCUACAACGUAUUUCACGGAGGCAAACGACAACCUGAGUACUCUUCCUAUGGACACGGCGACCAUCCGAGGCAAAUCCAACAUGCGCCGAGCCCGAAGAGCGACAGAAGAUACUACUACAAUAGCAAAGAGAAGCGAAGGGAUCACGAGAAACGCGCGAGCCGAUGCCACGUCGACGACCCCAAGACGGUCGGUGAGGAAUAUUGGGAUAUGAAGAGCCACCGCGCGUCGCAGCGGAGAAAGACUUACGAGGAGAAAGGGGUGUUGAGGAGGAUGUACAAGGACUCGAAAGGCAAGGAUCGAGGUGGUGGAGCAGAAGCAGUAUCGUGUGAAGAAGUACGAAGAGCACCACCCGCUUAGUCCGGAGCUGACGGAGAGCAGGGGGAGAAGGAGCUGGUUUAGCUAGGUAAAAGAUCGAGUCGGCAGUCAUCUGUUCUCGUGAACGGGUGGAUUAGGUCUCCUAGAUCAGUCAGCCUAUUGUUAUUGUCAGCAUCUCUUCUCUAUCUCUCUCCAUGUCAUGUAUAUGUCCGGUUUCUUAUUAGAGUCUGUUCUGUUGUGUAUGUAUCUGCAGUCGAAACUAAGUUCCUCGUAAUAUUAUGCUGGCAUGGCCUUAUUAUGUGUAAUAUAUUGAAGGACGUUAGCGUUAGUAAACACAAUUGUAAAACUUUCAUGUAAAUUGAUGUUUGGAGUAGUAACACUAGGGUGUCUAAUCUUUAUAUAUCCAAUUUACAAUCCUAUUCUCAUUCGAUUGUUACUCUAUUAAUUACCCAGUGAAUGAGAAUGCUUAAGUCCAAUUAUUUUUUAUUACGGUCCGUAGUCUCUUAUAUUCUCAAUCACAAACUGUUUUCUAUCCGAUGCGGGAAUAUUAGAGUGUUAUAAACUCCCUCCGUUUAGACCCUGACUUUUUCGUCAGGUCCAAAUUCAAUCACACAUAUAUAUAGACUAAAAUUAUUAGGUGAUGUGAGAUUUGAUAGGUGGCUGUUGCUUGUUCAAAAGAUAGCUCCCAACAAACCCAUGGUGUAGCACUUUAUCUUGCAUAAUACUUAGCUCUCACAUUUCCGGUUAGUACUCGGUUUUAAUACCAAAUGUAACGACCUGAACCACUAGCAAUACGAAAUUGUUGGACCCAAACAAUUGGUCCAAAAUGUUUAAGCCCAGUUAUUAUUACUAUGAUCUACGGUCCUUUUAUAUUUUCAAUUACAACCCUUUUACAUCUGAUAUAGGACUAUUGCGGUAUUACAGAUUUCUCUCAUUCAGACCUUCUAGACUUAACAACCUUAGCAAAGCUGAUGGUACUUUACUCUUAUAUGCUCCUCAAGCUCCCACGGUACGUGCUUCCUGCUCAGAAUAGUUGGUUUACUGUACUUAAACAUAUAAAUUGAUUCGUCUUCUCAAAACUUGAUCUUUUCGCUCUAUGAUACACACUGGCUGCUCGUCAUAAGAUAGAUCUUCUCGAAGCUGUAAGGGUUUCGACUCCACGACAUAGCCCGGAUUGUGGACAUUAUGCACUUCAGCUAAAGAAGGUGGUAAGGAAAGUCUGUAUGCAACAUCACCAAACCUGUCACGCCCUGGGCACGAGCGGAAACACCCUAGGAUAGUGCCCAGAUCCGCCGUGUGCAUGAGGCUCCCUCAAACACAUGAAGCGACAACCAACGUCUAUCAACUCAUAUAAAUAAAUGAAAAAAUUCAUACUAGUUGGAGUAUCAAAACACAAAAAUACUAUUCUAUUCAACUACAAAUCCCAAAAGAACUGUCAUAAGUUGUCACGCCCCAUUCCACAGCGGAAGCCCAUGGAGACGUCAACAGACCUGUCAAAUAGACAAAGUUUCUCUUGUCCUGACGAGGCACCAACAUAACAUAAUAGUAGUAAAGCAAUUCUAGAGAUCACAACUAAAAGUUUUUCAAAUCACAAGAACAAUAAUAAAGUCACUAAAUAAACGAACUACAUGUAUCAGAGCACUAUACCAAAACUAGUAUACAUCGCUGUAUAACAUCAUAUAGUCUCUGCUAACCAGAAAGAUAAACGUACAAAUAAAAAGCUCUGGCCAUCGCCAGUCCUGAUGUAUAAUAUAAAUUGAAACCUAUCGCUCAAGCACACUGGUAGGAGGUGCUAUAUCUAGGCAUGAUUUCCUUACGUUGAUCAAUAGAAAGUGCAGUUGUCUCUAAAAAGAAAAUCAAAAGAGGGAAUGAGAACUACUAAACAGCAGUUCCCAGUGUGUACGGUCGAUGACAACCAAGACCUUCCCUGUAGGUCUACUAGAGGCAAGAAUAAUAAAAGAACAAUGAAGUAUACUAUAGAAUGAGCAACUGAGUAUAAUAUGAUAUACAAUUACUGAGCUAUCAUGCCUCUAUACAUGUAGUGAAAAGGAAAGAAAGAAGGUAACUAAAGCAUGCAUCAAUGGUAAUACUAAAAAACAAAUGCUGUAAUAGUAACCAAUCGCAACGACCGACUCGUAGGUUCAGUCAAGCCUGCGCCUACUCGGUGCGAGGACACACUCCCGCAGGUGUGACGGCAACACCUAGGCUACUGCCUCUGCUAUCACUGGCUAGCAUCCACAGCAGCACUCAAGGGGAGAGACCCUACCAAGUAUCCCAACUACUUCUUCGGCGACUUGACCAACAUUUUCACCAAUUGCUCCACCAAUAUCUUCAAAAACACCUUCACCAACACCUUCACCAAUUGUUUCUUCGGCAGCUUGACCACCUUCAUCACCUCCACCACCUUCACUAGCAAUACCUACAAUGUUAUCAUCAGUCAUAUCAAUAUUGCCCUCUUGUGUCAGAGUUUUCUCACCAUUAUAGUUUAAUGGAAUGCCUUGCGACUGAAUGGUUAUAAAAAUUUUUUACUUCUUUCAUGUCAUUGUAUAUAGAAAAUAUAACCAUCAACUCCUGCCUAGAGAAUACUUGAAUGAAUUUCUUUGGCUUAACAUUUCUUGCUAUAUACCAUACACCAAUGUUCUCCGUAACACCCCAAUCCCAUAGUGACCAUACAUCUCGACAAAAUUUAAUAAGAUUGUAACCAUCAAGGUCUAUCAUCAACAUAUGCUUCUUACCAUCACAAUAUCUGAGUCCACAUGCAGUUUUUAUUGUUUUAAAAUACCCAACAUAAUUGAACUUCACUUAAAAAAAAUCAUUCUCGUCCAUAUUAUCAAACUGCCACUAUAGAAACAAAAAAAAAUAAAUAAAAAUGACUAGGUUCUAUACUCAUAUGCUCUAUGAAAAUAUGACAAUAAAUUGUCUAUACAUCUAACUUGGAUGAUUCAAGCAAAAUAUUACAUAUUUCCUAAAAAUAUGCUGAAUUACUACUUCAUGAGACUAAAAUUGUUCUAAAAUUAACCUAAAAUAUAGCAAAUUGUUCCAAAACUAACAAUCAAAUAAACCAAGUUUUGGAUUUAUAGUAUGUAGUGCACUCACCUUACUCUCCUUGGAGACAGAGGAGCAAUACACCUCGUUGAUGAAUAGGAUGGAAAAAACCCUAGUAAUGGUAGAUCUGAAGCUAGUAUAAGGGAGUGACAGGGAGAUGAAGAGGAAGAGAAAGAAGAAGAGCUCUUAUCCCCUCCAUAGAAUGUGAUCAAAUUAGGGUUAAGGGUCUCCUCGCGGGCGCUCUCCUCGCGUCGUGGGCGCUCUCCUCGCGGGAUGUGAGCGGAAGUAGGUGAAAAGAUCACCUGAGGGCCCUCUCUGCGGUUUGGUUUCACUCAACUAGGGUUAAGGGCCCACGCAGGUAGUUAGGUAAUAGGAUAUAAUAUAAGAGGGGCAAAAUAGUCAAUUCACCUUAUUAACUAAUCAUGAUUAAGUAUUUUAACUGUGGUUAACUAAAUUUCUCUAACAGACCCUAACGGCAGGAACAUACUGCAUACAUUAGGACUUUUGUAGGGACAACUUAUAAAAAUUGAGUUUUGUAGGGAUAUAUCUGCAAUUCACUAUGUUUGCAGGGACGUGUAUGCAAUUAACCCUUCGAGAAAAUCUACUUUUAUCGCAGAUUGGCCUUUUAUUACUUGAUGUUUUUGCUUUUUAGAAUUUUCUGGUGCUCUGUGUUGCAUGAUAAAUGGGAUGGU
rnacentral:lncRNA from 1 species